AUUGAACGCUGGCGGCAUGCCUUACACAUGCAAGUCGAACGGCAGCACGGGGCAACCUGGUGGCGAGUGGCGAACGGGUGAGUAAAGCAUCGGAACGUACCCUAGAGUGGGGGAUAACUAUCCGAAAGGAUAGCUAAUACCGCAUAUUCUAUGAGUAGGAAAGCGGGGGAUCUUCGGACCUCGCGCUCUAGGAGCGGCCGAUGUCAGAUUAGCUAGUUGGUGGGGUAAAGGCCUACCAAGGCGACGAUCUGUAGCGGGUCUGAGAGGAUGAUCCGCCACACUGGGACUGAGACACGGCCCAGACUCCUACGGGAGGCAGCAGUGGGGAAUUUUGGACAAUGGGGGCAACCCUGAUCCAGCCAUGCCGCGUGAGUGAAGAAGGCCUUCGGGUUGUAAAGCUCUUUCGGCCGGGAAGAAAUCGUGUGGGCUAAUACCCUGCAUGGAUGACGGUACCGGAACAAGAAGCACCGGCUAACUACGUGCCAGCAGCCGCGGUAAUACGUAGGGUGCAAGCGUUAAUCGGAAUUACUGGGCGUAAAGCGUGCGCAGGCGGUUUUGUA
rnacentral:rRNA from 1 species